rnacentral:rRNA from 1 species
GACGAACGCUGGCGGCGUGCUUAACACAUGCAAGUCGAACGGAAAGGCCUCUUUCGGGGGGUACUCGAGUGGCGAACGGGUGAGUAACACGUGAGUAACCUGCCCUUGACUUUGGGAUAACUUCAGGAAACUGGGGCUAAUACCGGAUAGGAGCUCCUGCUGCAUGGUGGGGGUUGGAAAGUUUCGGCGGUUGGGGAUGGACUCGCGGCUUAUCAGCUUGUUGGUGGGGUAGUGGCUUACCAAGGCUUUGACGGGUAGCCGGCCUGAGAGGGUGACCGGCCACAUUGGGACUGAGAUACGGCCCAGACUCCUACGGGAGGCAGCAGUGGGGAAUAUUGCACAAUGGGUGGAAGCCUGACGGAGCAACGCCGCGUGAGUGAAGAAGGUCUUCGGAUCGUAAAACUCUGUUAUUAGGGAAGAACAAAUGUGUAAGUAACUAUGCACGUCUUGACGGUACCUAAUCAGAAAGCCACGGCUAACUACGUG